rnacentral:lncRNA from 1 species
UUGUUUUUAGUGAGCGAAGCGAAUGUGUACUGUCGAGUAAAGGUAGUCGUUGUUGGCGCCGACCCUUCUAAGCCCUGACACAUCACAAGCCAUCUUACUUAAGAUUUUCGAAAUAGGAGGAAGGGGCAAUGUCAAUUAAAUAAGCGUAUCAAAGAGAAUGAGGUCUAGCGCCCCAAAAUACCAUCAAGAAAGAGCAAUAGAACAAGGUGGGAAUAAGAUAUAACAAAUGGGUAAGACAACCAAUGGCAAUUCAACGGCUUUAUGAGAUAAUCGGUAUACUUUCUGC